rnacentral:rRNA from 1 species
CAUAGGUUAAUGAGGCGAACCGGGGGAACUGAAACAUCUAAGUACCCCGAGGAAAAGAAAUCAACCGAGAUUCCCCCAGUAGCGGCGAGCGAACGGGGAGCAGCCCAGAGCCUGAAUCAGUGUGUGUGUUAGUGGAAGCGUCUGGAAAGGCGCGCGAUACAGGGUGACAGCCCCGUACACAAAAAUGCACAUGCUGUGAGCUCGAUGAGUAGGGCGGGACACGUGGUAUCCUGUCUGAAUAUGGGGGGACCAUCCUCCAAGGCUAAAUACUCCUGACUGACCGAUAGUGAACCAGUACCGUGAGGGAAAGGCGAAAAGAACCCCGGCGAGGGGAGUGAAAAAGAACCUGAAACCGUGUACGUACAAGCAGUGGGAGCACGCUUAGGCGUGUGACUGCGUACCUUUUGUAUAAUGGGUCAGCGACUUAUAUUCUGUAGCAAGGUUAACCGAAUAGGGGAGCCGAAGGGAAACCGAGUCUUAACUGGGCGUUAAGUUGCAGGGUAUAGACCCGAAACCCGGUGAUCUAGCCAUGGGCAGGUUGAAGGUUGGGUAACACUAACUGGAGGACCGAACCGACUAAUGUUGAAAAAUUAGCGGAUGACUUGUGGCUGGGGGUGAAAGGCCAAUCAAACCGGGAGAUAGCUGGUUCUCCCCGAAAGCUAUUUAGGUAGCGCCUCGUGAAUUCAUCUCCGGGGGUAGAGCACUGUUUCGGCAAGGGGGUCAUCCCGACUUACCAACCCGAUGCAAACUACGAAUACCGGAGAAUGUUAUCACGGGAGACACACGGCGGGUGCUAACGUCCGUCGUGAAGAGGGAAACAACCCAGACCGCCAGCUAAGGUCCCAAAGUCAUGGUUAAGUGGGAAACGAUGUGGGAAGGCCCAGACAGCCAGGAUGUUGGCUUAGAAGCAGCCAUCAUUUAAAGAAAGCGUAAUAGCUCACUGGUCGAGUCGGCCUGCGCGGAAGAUGUAACGGGGCUAAACCAUGCACCGAAGCUGCGGCAGCGACGCUUAUGCGUUGUUGGGUAGGGGAGCGUUCUGUAAGCCUGCGAAGGUGUGCUGUGAGGCAUGCUGGAGGUAUCAGAAGUGCGAAUGCUGACAUAAGUAACGAUAAAGCGGGUGAAAAGCCCGCUCGCCGGAAGACCAAGGGUUCCUGUCCAACGUUAAUCGGGGCAGGGUGAGUCGACCCCUAAGGCGAGGCCGAAAGGCGUAGUCGAUGGGAAACAGGUUAAUAUUCCUGUACUUGGUGUUACUGCGAAGGGGGGACGGAGAAGGCUAUGUUGGCCGGGCGACGGUUGUCCCGGUUUAAGCGUGUAGGCUGGUUUUCCAGGCAAAUCCGGAAAAUCAAGGCUGAGGCGUGAUGACGAGGCACUACGGUGCUGAAGCAACAAAUGCCCUGCUUCCAGGAAAAGCCUCUAAGCAUCAGGUAACAUCAAAUCGUACCCCAAACCGACACAGGUGGUCAGGUAGAGAAUACCAAGGCGCUUGAGAGAACUCGGGUGAAGGAACUAGGCAAAAUGGUGCCGUAACUUCGGGAGAAGGCACGCUGAUAUGUAGGUGAAGUCCCUCGCGGAUGGAGCUGAAAUCAGUCGAAGAUACCAGCUGGCUGCAACUGUUUAUUAAAAACACAGCACUGUGCAAACACGAAAGUGGACGUAUACGGUGUGACGCCUGCCCGGUGCCGGAAGGUUAAUUGAUGGGGUUAGCGCAAGCGAAGCUCUUGAUCGAAGCCCCGGUAAACGGCGGCCGUAACUAUAACGGUCCUAAGGUAGCGAAAUUCCUUGUCGGGUAAGUUCCGACCUGCACGAAUGGCGUAAUGAUGGCCAGGCUGUCUCCACCCGAGACUCAGUGAAAUUGAACUCGCUGUGAAGAUGCAGUGUACCCGCGGCAAGACGGAAAGACCCCGUGAACCUUUACUAUAGCUUGACACUGAACAUUGAGCCUUGAUGUGUAGGAUAGGUGGGAGGCUUUGAAGUGUGGACGCCAGUCUGCAUGGAGCCGACCUUGAAAUACCACCCUUUAAUGUUU